UACGUAGGCAGCAAGCGUUGUUCGGAAUUACUGGGCGUAAAGAGUGUGUAGGCGGUGCUCUAAGUUCGGUGUGAAAUCUCCCGGCUCAACUGGGAGGGUGCGCCGGAAACUGGAGUGCUGGAGCGCGGGAGAGGAAAGCGGAAUUCCUGGUGUAGCGGUGAAAUGCGUAGAUAUCAGGAGGAACACCGGCGGUGUAGACGGCUUUCUGGACCGUAGCUGACGCUGAGACACGAAGGCGUGGGUAGCAAACAGG
rnacentral:rRNA from 1 species